ensembl:lncRNA
CGCUGCGCCCGAAGCCCCGCGGAGCUGCUGAAAACCACUAGCUAUCAAAUGAACCCUCAGUUCCGCCUCAGUAACUUUAAGUUCAAGUUUAUCACUGAAGCGUCACUCAUGUGAGAAGAAGAUACAAGCCUCGGAGGGCGGUGGGGCCCAGCUUCAAUUACCAUAAAGGGUAACGGGAGGCCCUGGCUGCGGGGAGGGGAGCCGGAGUGAGCGCCUUCGUGGAAACAGACCCUGUCAAGAUGAAAUAGGAAAGAUCUGGGUGUCACGGGGAUGAUUUGUUUCUUGUUUCUCCCCUUUGUCUAUGGGCUGAUGGUUUGAAUAAUGAAGACGGUAUUGGUUUUCUUCUCGAGCACGCCAGCACAGGAGGUCUGCUUUUCUGAUGGCACAGCUGACAUAUUAAGAGGGAUUAAAGUUUCUGUACACGGGCAAUGUUUAAAUUAGCUUCCUUAAGCCCCAAAGAGAUCGUUCCAGCUGAUCGGCAAAAUGAACCCCAGCACGGCCGGCAGCCACCCUGCGCAGGUUGCCUAAACAGAGCCGCGGUGUCCUGUUUGGUCAGCUGUUUUGCAAAAUCAGAAGAAAAGGAAAGGCACUAAUCCCCGCCGAGCCGGAAAUCUUUCCAGGCUGGGGCCAGAAAGGUGAGUGGAGAGGUACAGCACAGAUGCCUCACGCAGAGCCACCUGUACCUGGGAGUUCUUGCAUGGCCAGGAAGACGGUUACUGGCCCAGCGUUGAUGCCAACACUGUGCCCCAUAACUCCUGUUAUUCUUGUCCUGGGGAGCAGGCGUAAGAGUAGGUACUCAAUGCGGUCUCUGAAUGUCUCAGGGCACUAAGCUGUACCCUAAACAUAAGCUUCCACUGGCAAUUAAGCAUCUAAUCAAACACUCCUGGCUCAGGAACAAAAGUGGAGGCUUAACUCCUUCCUGGGCUGCGGGCCCCAACAACGGUUGCCUGCCUGUCAGAGCCGUGUGCCUCCCUCCCCACAUCUGCUCCUCUGAAGGGGAGAAAACCCACAGCGAGCUCCCGACCUCAGGCACGGCCAUGCUGAACAGCUUAGGGAGGCGGCUCCUUUGAGAGCCGCGUGUUCUGCUGCUCACAAACGCCACAAGGCAAAAUGGGCUGGAGCCACAUGGCCCCAAACACCUCUGCCUCCGCACAUCUCAUCCCAGAAAUGCCCUUUACUUUAAAAGAUCCAAGCGGCCGGAUUUGUGACCAGAGAUGACCAUUUUCCUUCCAUUUUAUUUUAGCCCUAUGCAAAGAGCCUCUGGGAUGGGCCUGUGGCUCCUGCCCCUCUGGGGUUCACACAGUGUGUGGUGGCCCCCUGCCUUUGAGUGUGGGCGAACCUGUGACUUAUUUCUAAACAACUGAGAAUGGCAAAAGGGAAGGUAGAUAUUAUGAAGGUCCCAAAUCAGUUGAUCUGGAGUGAAUCAGAGGGAGAUUAUUCCGAGUGGCUUGAGUUAAUCAGGUGGAAGCCGUUAAAUGAGGGACCAGGCCCUUAUAGGACAAAGAUUCUCCUUGCUGGCUUGAUGCCAUAAGACACCAUGUUGCAGAAGCCCACAUGGCAAGGACUGCAGGUGGCCUCUAGGACUUGGGGUGGCCACCAGCUGACAGCCAGCAAAAAGUUGGGACCCUCAGCCAUAGAACAACCAGGAAAUGAAUUCUGCCAACAAGCCGAAUGAGCAUGGAAGUAUAUUCUUUCUCUGUUUGCUGUCCAGAUGAAAAUGAGUUCGGGCCAACAGUUUAUUAGAAUCCAGUGACAUCCUAAGCAGAAGACCCGGUUAAGCUGUGCCUGGACUCCUGACUCAUGGAACCUGUGAGAUAAAACCUGUGUUGUUUCCCCUCUCCACCCUUCUCUGGUGAGAGGGCACCUGCGUGGGUGAGGCCCACAGGAUCCUGGCCCCUGUGGCUUCUAGUUGGGUCUGGACAAUGCAGAGCACCAGAGAGAUGGAGCCUCGAAGUGGGCUGACUACGUCCCUCCGCUGAAGGCCACUGUACCUCUCGAGGAGGCCAAUUCUACAAGACCUUCUUCUGCUGGC